rnacentral:rRNA from 1 species
ACGCUCGACACCUACUGGAGGCAGCAGUGGGGAAUAUUGGGCAAUGGAGGCAACUCUGACCCAGCAACGCCGCGUGAAUGAUGAAGGUCUUCGGAUUGUAAAGUUCUGUGACGGGGGACGAACACAAUGACGGUACCCCGAUAGCAAGCCACGGCUAACUACGUGCCAGCAGCCGCGGUAAUCUGAGCGGGCUGGCAAGGC